AGAGUUUGAUCAUGCCUUAGAACGAACGCUGGCGGCAUGCCUAACACAUGCAAGUCCAACGAACCCUUCGGGGUUAGUGGCGCACGGGUGCGUAACGCGUGGGAAUCUGCCCUUGGCUUCGGAAUAACAGUUAGAAAUGACUGCUAAUACCGGAUGAUGUCUUCGGACCAAAGAUUUAUCGGCCAGGGAUGAGCCCGCGUAGGAUUAGGUAGUUGGUGGGGUAAAGGCCUACCAAGCCGACGAUCCUUAGCUGGUCUGAGAGGAUGAUCAGCCACACUGGGACUGAGACACGGCCCAGACUCCUACGGGAGGCAGCAGUGGGGAAUAUUGGACAAUGGGCGCAAGCCUGAUCCAGCAAUGCCGCGUGAGUGAUGAAGGCCUUAGGGUCGUAAAGCUCUUUUACCCGGGAUGAUAAUGACAGUACCGGGAGAAUAAGCUCCGGCUAACUCCGUGCCAGCAGCCGCGGUAAUACGGAGGGAGCUAGCGUUGUUCGGAAUUACUGGGCGUAAAGCGCGCGUAGGCGGUUAUUCAAGUCAGAGGUGAAAGCCCGGGGCUCAACCCCGGAACUGCCUUUGAAACUAGAUGACUAGAAUCUUGGAGAGGUCAGUGGAAUUCCGAGU
rnacentral:rRNA from 1 species